rnacentral:rRNA from 1 species
UACAGAGGUCCCAAGCGUUGUUCGGAUUCACUGGGCGUAAAGGGUGCGUAGGUGGCCGGGUAAGUCUGACGUGAAACCUCCGAGCCUAACUCGGAAACUGCAUCGGAUACUAUCCGGCUUGAGGGUUGGAGGGGGGACUGGAAUACUUGGUGUAGCAGUGAAAUGCGUAGAUAUCAAGUGGAACACCAGUGGCGAAGGCGAGUCCCUGGACAACACCUGACACUGAGGCACGAAAGCUAGGGGAGCAAACAGG